GACGAACGCUGGCGGCGUGCUUAACACAUGCAAGUCGAACGGAAAGGCCUCUUUCGGGGGGUACUCGAGUGGCCAACGGGUGAGUAACACGUGAGUAACCUGCCCUUGACUUUGGGAUAACUUCAGGAAACUGGGGCUAAUACCGGAUAGGAGCUCCUGCUGCAUGGUGGGGGUUGGAAAGUUUCGGCGGUUGGGGAUGGACUCGCGGCUUAUCAGCUUGUUGGUGGGGUAGUGGCUUACCAAGGCUUUGACGGGUAGCCGGCCUGAGAGGGUGACAGGCCACAUUGGGACUGAGAUACGGCCCAGACGCCGACGGGAGGCAGCAGUGGGGAAUAUUGCACAAUGGGUGGAAGCCUGAUGCAGCAACGCCGUGUGCGGGAUGACGGCCUUCCGGUUGUAAACCGCUUUCGCUCAUGACGAAGCUUUGUGUGACGGUAGUGGGUAAAGAAGCACCGGCUAACUACGUG
rnacentral:rRNA from 1 species